GGGCAUUUGGUCUAGUGGUAUGAUUCUCGCUUAGGGUGCGAGAGAGGUCCCGAGUUCAAUUCUCGGAAUGCCCC
rnacentral:tRNA from 1 species